rnacentral:rRNA from 1 species
GGAGCUUGCUUCUUCGAUCGAGUGGCGAACGGGUGAGUAACGCGUGAGGAACCUGCCUCAAAGAGGGGGACAACAGUUGGAAACGACUGCUAAUACCGCAUAAGCCCACGGGUCGGCAUCGACCAGAGGGAAAAGGAGCAAUCCGCUUUGAGAUGGCCUCGCGUCCGAUUAGCUAGUUGGUGAGGUAAUGGCCCACCAAGGCGACGAUCGGUAGCCGGACUGAGAGGUUGAACGGCCACAUUGGGACUGAGACACGGCCCAGACUCCUACGGGAGGCAGCAGUGGGGAAUAUUGCACAAUGGGGGAAACCCUGAUGCAGCGACGCCGCGUGGAGGAAGAAGGUCUUCGGAUUGUAAACUCCUGAUGUUGAGGAAGAUAAUGACGGUACUCAACAAGGAAGUGACGGCUAACUACGUGCCAGCAGCCGCGGUAAAACGUAGGUCACAAGCGUUGUCCGGAAUUACUGGGUGUAAAGGGAGCGCAGGCGGGAAGACAAGUUGGAAGUGAAAUCCAUGGGCUCAACCCAUGAACUGCUUUCAAAACUGUUUUUCUUGAGUAGUGCAGAGGUAGGCGGAAUUCCCGGUGUAGCGGUGGAAUGCGUAGAUAUCGGGAGGAACACCAGUGGCGAAGGCGGCCUACUGGGCACCAACUGACGCUGAGGCUCGAAAGUGUGGGUAGCAAACAGGAUUAGAUACCCUGGUAGUCCACACCGUAAACGAUGAUUACUAGGUGUUGGAGGAUUGACCCCUUCAGUGCCGCAGUUAACACAAUAAGUAAUCCACCUGGGGAGUACGACCGCAAGGUUGAAACUCAAAGGAAUUGACGGGGGCCCGCACAAGCAGCGGAGUAUGUGGUUUAAUUCGACGCAACGCGAAGAACCUUACCAAGUCUUGACAUCCUGCGACGGAUAUAGAAAUAUGUCUUUCCUUCGGGACGCAGAGACAGGUGGUGCAUGGUUGUCGUCAGCUCGUGUCGUGAGAUGUUGGGUUAAGUCCCGCAACGAGCGCAACCCUUAUGGUCAGUUACUACGCAAGAGGACUCUGGCCAGACUGCCGUUGACAAAACGGAGGAAGGUGGGGAUGACGUCAAAUCAUCAUGCCCUUUAUGACUUGGGCUACACACGUACUACAAUGGCGUUAAACAAAGAGAAGCAAGACCGCGAGGUGGAGCAAAACUCAGAAACAACGUCCCAGUUCGGACUGCAGGCUGCAACUCGCCUGCACGAAGUCGGAAUUGCUAGUAAUCGUGGAUCAGCAUGCCACGGUGAAUACGUUCCCGGGCCUUGUACACACCGCCCGUCAC